AUACUUAGAAACCACUAGCUCUUGAGAGUGUAUAUUUCAGAUUUGCAGCUCAAUUUUUUGUAAAGCAUUUGUAUUUUAUCCAGAAAGUAAGUAGGAGAGGUAAACACAUUAAUUAUGAAGACAUGAGGAUUCUUAGGCUGUGACUUCAGGAGACCUAACCGGAUUAUGGUACCAUUGCUUUUCCUAGGGCAGCUCUGAAAAAUCUUUUAGCCCUUGUAGAAACAGUAUGUGACUUUAUAGGAGGACACAGAACAUAUGUUGUUGUGUAGAUACAAAAGGAAGCUGGGAAUAGAAUAUGAAUUCUGCAGUAAGGGGAAAAAUAAAACUCUUAGCUGUUUGCCUCAGCAAUUUGCUAGAGGCCAAAUGUGUUUCAUAUUAUCUUUAUCCUUGCAAAGUUCACAAAGGCUAGUUGGUCAGACUUUGAAAUUGUCAAGUUGAUGUUCAAAGUACAAGCGUGUGGCCUCGAGUCCAGAGUUCCAUGCCCAACUUCACUGUUGUUCACAAGUUGAUUAAACACAUAUAGUCCCAUGCUUAAAUAUGAAUUCAAAGGAUAUAUUCUUCUUGUGAGCCAUUGAAACUGAACUUGGAGUUUGGGUAAUACUGCAUUUAGUGUCAGAUUGUGUCGUAAAUAAGCGUUAACUAUCUCAUUAGAGUCUUAUCACCAAGGAGAAUUCAGAAUCAUAACAAUGUGGCCAUGUUCUCUGGAUAGAUCAAGGAAAUUCCUGUACUUAUUGAGUUACAAUGAUUACUCCAAUAAAGAGUUGCAAAAAAUAAAUUCUCUGAUUUCUGUCUGUAGAACAAUCACACUCUUUACUGAAAAUACUUGUACCCAUUUUAAUCCAAUCACAGGAAGGAAGUAACAAGGGAAGUAAGCUGAGCAUUAUGAUAUUCUCCAAAAUGUUUUGUUCUGCCAUCAAAUAAUGAUGAGCCUACAUGUUUCUUCCACUCUCUCCAUUUCAGCAGUUACUUAAAUUGCAGCUCAAUACAACCCUAAACUUCACAAUAACCUAACAAAAUUCUCACAAUAUUUAAGAGCAGAGAAAAUAAAAGGACAGGGGUACAGACAGGGGUACACUCUUCUUUCCCCUUCUAUGUUCAGUCCUUUACUUUUCAGUGUCUAUUCAUGAAAAUGAAGUUGUUUUAUCUUGGCAGACAAUGGCGUAACUCCAAUGUGUCAGUUUAAUCAACAUUCUAUUAAAAUAAGUAUAUUUGGAGAAACUGGGUGGUUUAUUAUAAAUGUUUUUUCCCCAUAGCGAUGGAGCUUUUUUGAAAACGCCUUAACGUGUUUUUGGAUGUUUGGAGUGAUGUCCAGAGGAAGCAGCACCAGAAAGGGCAUGGGCUGAUACGAGAAGACAGGCUGGUAGCGGGACACAUGGAGAAUCUACUCCGCUACAGAUUAAUAGAAAACUUAGUUAUGAUAACUAUAUUACUAAAAGAUAUUUUUAAGUGAAUUUCUAAGUGUCUUCAAUACCUCACUAUUGUUUAUAUAUUUAUUAUUACUCUUUCUUUGGUGAUGGCUUUGUGCUCUCUGUUAUUUUUACUUGAAGAGCUUUAAAAAACAAGAGUGUGAAGAAAUUAAUGUAAAGAAUUGGCAAAGAGAUCUGCUGUCUUCCAGGGGCCGUAGCGUGGAGCAACAGGUGACAAUAAAGGAGAUAAGUCUGAAAUACCAGUUCAGCAGUAGACAGGCAAUGUUGGGAACUACGUGAAAUAAGCCAGCAGAUUGGAACGGAUAACAAUUAUUUGACAAUCUGUUGGCUCAGGGUUUUAUUUUCAUCUUCUUUUUAGUAUAAGAACCCCAAUAAAGGCUUCUCAUUCUCUAUCCAGAGGCUUUUGGAAUCUGAGUUGACUUCUAUAAUGACAUCUACCUUAACCUGGUGUUGCACAUAUGCUUCUUGCCAACUGAUGAAUCUUAAGUUUUCAGUUGAUAAAAUACUCACUGGUACAGCCAUUCACUUUCUCUAGGUGCUGUGGGACUGCUUCUACAGAGAGGAAGCCCCCAUUUUGUGCUAACGCAGCAGAAACCUUAGAAACCAGUUAGCCACAGUCAUUCAAUGUGCUCAGGUAAUUCAGACAGACUAGAAGCCUCACUCUUUUGAUCUUCUUUCUAUAUGCUUUGAGAAAAAAAUUACAGAUGAUGAAAAGAAGGAUGCUAAAGAAAAUAUUCCUCUUUGGUCAGUUCAAUCAAGGGCAGUCCUAAAACAGAGCUAAAAUAAAGAGGUGGCUCCCUCAUCUAGGCAUUGGCUCCUGAACAGCUGUUUGCAGUCAGCUUAUGCAACCUUGGCACUGUGCUGUGCUUGUAAUUGAAGUUCAUCUUUAUGAGAUUUCAGCAGAGCCUGGUCAAAGAGGUUGGUCAUUAAAGGCAGGAAGCACAGCAACUUUAGUAAAUAGAGAAGAAAGCAAUGCAGUUUUCUUUAGCAAGGUGUUAAGGAGACAGCUUUUGAAAUUUAUCUUAAUUUAGCCUUCGAAAGAUAUGACCUUGCUCCUACAUCUUGCUGUAGAGCUGCCUUUUGAUGUACUUGCUUUACAUACUAGGGGAGAAGACUGUGUUACCUUAAUUGAGUUUGUGUUCUAUUGCUUUCUUGUAAAUUCUAUUUUAGUAGCUUUAUAAAUUGACCAUAAAAACUCACACUAGACUGAAAUUUCAGGGACCUGGGAGAAAACUGUUUCUUUUAUUUAAAAAGACUUUUAUUUAUAAGAUUCAAGGUCACUUAAACAUUAAUUUUCUUAUUAACGCUUAGAGUUUAUUGUUUUUCCUCAGAAAUAAUAUUCUCCAACUUUCAAUAAAAGAACACAGAUCAUUAGUUGGAUAAAUAGGGAAUUUAGUGUAAAAAUCACAAAAAUCUGAUUUUAGAGACCCUGGAGAGCAAUAAUGCCUUGAGAAGCGGAGGAGUUCAGCAAUCUGCCUGGAGGUUGGGGGUUUUCAUGGGCCAGAUGAUAGAUUUGAGCACAGUUCUAGUUCAGAGGGCUUUAAGUGAAAAUUCUGGAAGUUGUUCAGCUGGGAACCAGAUGGUAUGACGAAAAGAGGGAAUCAUAUCAACCCAGGUGGGUUCCCUUUCUUUAGCUCUUUGAAUAUCUCCAUUCACCAUUGUUGUUUUUUUUUUUUUUGCCACUGUCCCAGGGCAUGAGGCUAGCGUGUGCAUUGCCUCAUUGCACCCAUUCCACCAAGUUCUAGACCUUUCCUCAGUUCAGUCUCGCUUCUUCUUUGUGGUCCUGUUUUCCCUGUCACCCUUUCCUGAUGCCCACAUAAUUGGGCAUGCAUACUGGCUGAGGUGCACAACUGAAUUUUGCUGUGGUCUGUGGUACUAGCGGUGACAAAAUGAAGACAGGAUACAUUAGAAUAAAGCACAAGUGCUCUUUCUUGCUGCUCCGGUGUCUUAGCCAGCUGUUUGCUGUUCUAUUUCCCUUUCACUUGCAAGUUCCCUCCGCACUCCACUUUCUUUUCCUGUGACUUGACCCUUAGGGUGUGAUUGUUCCAGGUGUUCCAAUUAGUACACUUAUAAGUAUGUAAGAAUUCUUAUUACAGACACACGGGGAGAUUUGACAGACAGAAGAGGAGGAGGCAAUGUGAAGAUGGAUAUAGAGAUAAGGGUAAUGUAGCCACAAGUAAGGAAGACAAGCAUUGCCGAUAGCUGCCAGAAGCUGGACAAGGCAAGGAAAUAUUCUUCCAUAGAACUUCCAGAGGGAGUGCGCCCUUGCUGACACCUUGAUUUUGGACUUGUGGCCUCCACACCUGUGAGAGAAUAAAAUUCUAUUGCUUUAAUCCAUCAAGUUUGUGAUAAUUCGUUGUAGCAUCUGUAGGAAACUAAUACAGAUUUUGGUACUGGGAAGUGGGGUGCUGCUGUAACAAAUGCCUGAAAGUGUGGAAGAGGUUUUAGAAUUAGGUAAUUGGGAGAGAGGCACAUGAUAGAAAAAGUCUGGAUUCUAGUGAAUGCUGAGAAGGAAGUGAGGAGCACGAAUGAGAAAACUUCUGUCAUCUUGGAGAAUACAAUAUAUUGUUAUGAGCAGAGUCUUGAGAGAAAUAUAAAUUUUAAAAACAUUUCUGAUGAGGGCUCAGAAGGAAAUGAGGAACACGUUAUUCUAAACUGGAGGAAAGGUGAUCCUUGUUAUCUAAGUGGGAGAAAACUUGACUGAGUUGUGUUCUACAGUUGUACAAAAAAUAGAACUUGUAAGUGAAGGACUUGGGUAUUUAGCUGAGGAGAUUUCUAAGCAAAGUGUUGAGGUCAUGGCUUGGUUUCUUUUUUCUGAUUAUAGUAAUAAAAUGCAAGACAAAAGAGAUAAAUUGAAGAAGGAACUGUUAAGGCAAAAAAAAAAAAAACCCAAUACUUGAUGAUUUGAGAAAUUUGCAGCCUAUCCAGAUUGCAAAACAUGCUAACGUUAGGAGAUUGACUGUUAGGACAGCAUGCUCUGGGAGAAGCCAAAGGUGUGGCUUGGACCACCUUUUGCUGAAGAGAUUAGAUGUAUAUAAUUCAUGGAUUCAUGCAACAAUCUCAACAGAAGCCAGGAAUAGAGAUGGAGUUCUCCAGGAAAGACCUAUGGAGGACUCUCUUGUCUAAUGACAUAAAUCCCCUUGACGUAUACAAGAGACCCACCAGGUUUGUGAGAAUGUUAUAUUAGCUGAUACAUUGCCAGCCUGAACUGAAAAGGACAGAGUCAGGAUAAAAUAAAGGAAAGCUGUUGGAUUUUCUGUCUAUAGGCAGGAAACAGGUUGGUAGAGCUACUUGCCUGCAAACAUGUGCUACACUUUAAGAAAAAGGAGGAUGACUCCAAGGGCAGAGCUGUGAUCCUAGAGGCUGAUACCACAGGCCCAGAGGCCUAACAAGCUGCCAUACAGGCCUACUGAGAACCUGUGGGCCCAAAGGGCAGAGCUGCAGGUCCACGUGGAGCCUAAGAUCACAGGGGAUUAUUCUCAGGACUUGAAACCUCAUGGAAAUUCCUCUGCUGCAUUUCAAACUUUCUUGGGACAGGUAACCCUUUAUUCUGUUAAAAAACAAAAUUCAACUGAGUAAACUGGAAGAUCUAAUUGGCUUCAUUCAACAAUUCAUAAAUUUGGCAGCAUCCCAUCUAGCAAAUAGAAAGGAGCUCCAAGGAACUGUACAAAUGGAAGACUUUUAUAGGCAGAAGGAGGCAAGGCAAGGAAUCUAGCAAAGUAGAUUGUUUCAGGUCAGGUCACUUUUCUUUGGGGGAAGGCAGGGGUCUAUCAGGCAGAUGACCUCACUAGUACUGGCCAGGAAAUUCGAGACUGACUGGUUAACAUUACAUUCCCGAAAGAGGCUGAAACUGCAAUUAGGUUAGGUAUGAUGUCUCAGUUUGGUGAUGUGGGCUUAGCACAAGUGACUCCAUUUUGGGCCUAUUGUCUCUUUUUUAACAAUUCCUUCCAAUUUCUCCCUUUUAGAAUGGAAAUGUCUAAAACUGUUAUCCUCUGCCUUUUCUAUCAUUGUAUUUUGAGAGCAGAUAACUUGCUUUUAAGUUUCACAGGUCCACAGAUGAAGAAGGAUUUUGCCCCAGGAUGAAUCAUACCUAAAGUCUCUCCCAUACCUGAUUUAGAUCAUGAGAUUUUGGACUUUUGAGCUGAUUAUAUUUAGAUGAGAUUUUGUACUUAUAGUUGGUGCUGUAUAGGUUGUUAUUUUGGGAAUGUUAGGAUGGGUUGAAUGCAUUUUUUUGCAUGAGACAGACAUGAAUUUCAGGGGGCCAGAGGGUAGACUGUAGUGGUUUGAGUUCUGGUCUCUCAAAAGAUAUGUUCACAUCCAAAUCCCUUGGACCUGUGAAUAUUACCUUAUUUGGAAAUAGAGUCUUUGAAGGAUCUUGAGAUGAGAUCAUACUGGAUUAGCCAGGUGGGCCCUAAAGCCAACGACAAGAGUCUUUAUAAGAGACAGAAGAGAAGACACACAUGGAGGAGAAGGCACUGUGAAGACAGAAGCAGAGUUUGGAGUGAUAUGGCCAGAAGCCAAGGAAUGCCAUCAUCCACCAGACGCUGGAAGCAUCAAGGAAGGAUUCUCCCUGAAAGCCUCCAGAGGUAGAGUGGCUGACACCUUAAUUUUGGACUUCUCGUCUUCAAAACCGUGAGAGAACAAAUUUCUGUUGUUUUAAGCCUCCAUAUUUGUGGUAAUUUGUUAUGGCCUCCCUAAGAAACUAAUAGUGUAUCACCUUCAACCUCUUUCUUUCUCUGAGGAACUGAAGCUUUCUUGGUCAUGGCGCCACUUUACAUCUUUGGAUUAUGGUGACAACCAAGCUAGCUUCUUGGCCUCUCCUCCAAGUCGGCCACCCUCACCUGGCAUUCCCAGAGGAGCUAAUUCCCUGUAGAAGGGCUGACCUUUCUCUGCCUCUCUAGCCCCUGUCAAUUCCCAGGUCAUUGGAGCACAUCCUUGGUAGCUUCUACUUCUUUCACUUUUUUUCUUCUUCUCAAAAAUCACCCCCGUUUAGCACAGCACCCACUCCCCCUCUUUAGCCUCAUUCCUGUCAUCCGGUCACAGGGCUGCCACUGUUCCUCUCCCUGCACUCUGCAGCCCAUUCCUCUUGGUAACGCAACCCUGCGGGAAUCCAAAUGCACAUUUGCAUUUUAAUGGAAAUAUAAUUGACUUCUACCGAACACUUAAAUAAGUAAGACUUCACAUUUACAUUUUAAUCCAGACACUUUAUAGCCCUAUUUCCCCUAAUUUUUGGGGAAACAGAUCUUCUCUGACAGAUAACAAUUGUAGCUAUCCUUCUCUGAGCAUCUCCUCUGUGGUGGCAGUCACUUCAUAGAUAUCAUAGCGUUUAAUCCUCAUGGUAGUCUUUAUUUCAUCCCCAGUUUGCAGACUAGGACCAAAGACAUAGAGACGCGAGGUGACCCGAACACACUUACAUGGCUUAGAGAACCACAGUAUAGACUGAGGGACCUAAGAUUUUUCUUAUCUUCUUAUGUUUUAGAUUUUACAUUCUCUACAUUAAAGCCUGUCACAUAUAGAAUUUUUUAAACCGAUUUUCUCUCAUUUUGGACCAUUACUGUAUCAAUGGCACAAAUAACAAUAACUCAUAGUUGACUUUAUUGAGCACUUACUGCUGUCCAGAGUGCUAGACUCCUCAUAUUCAUUAUCAUGGAUGAUCUUUACAUAACCUUAUUAUAUCCUGAUCACAGAUGAAGAAACUAAAUCUUAGGUUAAAUAUCUUACCCAAAAUCACACGACUAAUUUGAUGUAGGACAUGUAUUUGAAUACAGAUAUGUCUAAAUACGGAGACUGUGUUCUUAACUUCUUAAGAUAAGUCAAGAACUUCAAAGAUGAAUACAGUGUCUUAUUACACAUAAGAUCUCAAGUUAUAGCAGAAUAACAUAACUUUGUAGUAAAUUGUUAUGCUCAAUAGGGGCUUUCUGGUUACAUACCAUGUUAAUCAUUGCUGAUCAAAAUAAAUGUCAGAAUAUUACUUAUGUAUCAUAAGCUUCUGAAAGUCAUUUGAAGGAGCUUUCAAUUAAAAGGUAAAAAGCCUAAAUCCAAACUCCUGAAACAUGAUUUAUAAGAAAUGAGCCAAAAAUUUUGAAGCACAAAUGGAAAAGAGAAUGUCACAGUUAUGGAGAAGCUUGGUCGAAUAGUCAUCACUUAGACAUGUGCAAAUGUGAAGUGUUCUUGUUUGAAACUCUCCAAGAACUGUACUUGGCCUUGAAUCACCUAGUCUUGAAGAAGACAGCUUAUGUGUUUUUUCAUUCCAGUUUAAAUAUCAGCCCAAUUCUGUGAUCUUUUUUUUUUUUCUUUUGUAGCCAAAUCUUAGCCACUUCUCAAUUUAUAAGAUCAGUGUCAACUUCAACAUAGUCUAGGUGGAUAUAAGGGAGAGUUUCUCGAAGGCAUAAAUCUGCAAGAUUCAAGCUUACUUUCUAACACUGGGCCUGCUUUCCCAUCUCUGCCCUAGACUGGUGAUGGGACUAUGUGACUAAUCUGUCACCAUGUGUUGGGGAAGAUCAGAGAUGUGAGGGGAUGUGCCCAAGGCCACACAGUUGGAUGGCAGAACAUUGGCAACUCUCAGAUCACUACUCAUGUUGAUGGCCUCAGACUCCGGUGGUGGCGCCAUGUGGGUCUCAGUUCCCCUUUAUCUGCAUCUUGUAGGAUGCCAGCAAGACACUUCACUGAUGCAGCAAGGUCUCUGAAUAUGAUCCCCCGCACAUGUGUACCUAGCUACCUAUCUCAACACCACUUCGCUUUUACAAAAGACCUGCAUUAGUAUGCAUUUUCACUAACCGAAAGGAAUCUGUAGAGGAUUUUUGCUUUUAUGAAAAAAGGUGAAAAGAGAAAAUAGCCUUCAGCAUUUGUUUUGCAACAGGCUGUUACAGAGGCUAAGCAGUCAAGCACACUGUCAUAUUUCAAGCUUUCCACAUCAGCCAUAGCAAAUGACAAACCUUCGAUAUUGAGGCGGGCAGACACAGAAGAAGGUGAAGAUGUUAGUGACCUGCCUGGCCUGGUGAAUUCAGAUGGCCAUGAGAUGUUAAUAGAUGACGCUCUUCAUCUCUCUCCUAUGCCCCAGUCUCCUGUACCUCCCACCACCCCAUCCUCCAACAACUCAGCCCAACACCCCAUUGUCACUGCCACCACCAUCUCUCAGCUUUCCAGUGUGCUCGCUGUCUUCCUGAUUCUGGUAAGUGAAACUACACUGUACAUACAUUAUUUCUACUUUAUGUAGGCUGUGUAUUUAUCAUAGCAUUCCUGCUUUUACUAUAUGUUAGUGUUAUUUUAGUUUUUGUGUGUUAUUUGGUAGGUUAUUUUUCAGAUUUGGGCAUGCUCAAAAUUUUUUCCCAUAUAAAUUAAUAGUAAC